rnacentral:rRNA from 1 species
GACGAACGCUGGCGGCGUGCUUAACACAUGCAAGUCGAACGGAAAGGCCCUGCUUUUGUGGGGUGCUCGAGUGGCGAACGAGUGAGUAACACGUGAGUAACCUGCCCUUGACUUUGGGAUAACUUCAGGAAACUGGGGCUAAUACCGGAUAGGAGCUCCUGCUGCAUGGUGGGGGUUGGAAAGUUUCGGCGGUUGGGGAUGGACUCGCGGCUUAUCAGCUUGUUGGUGGGGUAGUGGCUUACCAAGGCUUUGACGGGUAGCCGGCCUGAGAGGGUGACCGGCCACAUUGGGACUGGGAUACGGCCCAGACUCCUACGGGAGGCAGCAGUGGGGAAUAUUGCACAAUGGGCGGAAGCCUGAUGCAGCAACGCCGCGUGCGGGAUGACGGCCUUCGGGUUGUAAACCGCUUUCGCCUGUGACGAAGCGUGAGUGACGGUAAUGGGUAAAGAAGCACCGGCUAACUACGUG